UCUUAUACUUUAUUUUAAUUUUAAAACAUUUAAUUAUUCCAAGUUUGCUUUCGAUCUCUUUCUAAAUUAAUGAUAUUUAACAUGCUAUUCUUUUUAAUACAACAUGUUUUAGAUUUUUAGGAUUAUUUUGCAUAGUAUUUCGGUUGAUGAGAACUCGUUUGGAUGAUUCAAACCUGGUUAAUUCAAACAUGGUAGAACUGCUGGACUUUUUUGAACAAUUCCGAAAAUUCAAAUUCGAACAAUUCUGGUGAUUUGAAGACUUUUGCUCUUUCGAAACGUUUAGGAAAUCUACAUUUUACCAAAAGCCGACAUCAUAGUUUUUUUAAAGCUUUCAAAAUGUUUGGGAAACAUUAAUCCAACCAAGAGAAAUCAUAGUUUUUUUAAGGUAAGUGAUAGGAUUUAAUAAUCUUCGUGUGUUUCUUAAAUGAAAAUGCAUUCAAGAAUUAGCCGAAACAUUAUAUUUGUCAAAAACUCUAACAAUAAAAUAAUCGUUUUCAUCAAAACGGUUUGACACCUUCUGAUUAGGUUUAAAACCGCUUUUCUUCCGCGAUACGAAUUAAUUGAAAUGAUUAAUUUAUCUUCUGCAAGCGUUCAAAAUCUUGACGUAGACUGGCAAAAAAUUGAUUGAAAUUUAUUUAAUGAAUUAUAGGGUUAAUGUUAACUAUCACGUCCUGAUAGAAAACGGUGUUUUCUAAUAACGGAAA